UGCAGUCGACGAUGAAGGGAGCUUGCUCCCUGGAUUAGUGGCGAACGGGUGAGUAACACGUGAGUAACCUGCCCUUGACUCUGGGAUAAGCACUGGAAACGGUGUCUAAUACCGGAUACGAACUUCAGCCGCAUGGCUAGGAGUUGGAAAGAAUUUCGGUCAAGGAUGGACUCGCGGCCUAUCAGCUAGUUGGUGAGGUAAUGGCCCACCAAGGCGACGACGGGUAGCCGGCCUGAGAGGACGACCAGCCACACUGGGACUGAGACACGGCCCAGACUCCUACGGGAGGCAGCAGUGGGGAAUUUUGGACAAUGGGCGCAAGCCUGAUCCAGCCAUGCCGCGUGCGGGAAGAAGGCCUUCGGGUUGUAAACCGCUUUUGUCAGGGAAGAAAUCCUUUGAGAUAACACCUCGGAGGGAUGACGGUACCUGAAGAAUAAGCACCGGCUAACUACGUGCCAGCAGCCGCGGUAAUACGUAGGGUGCGAGCGUUAAUCGGAAUUACUGGGCGUAAAGCGUGCGCAGGCGGUCUUGCAAGACAGGUGUGAAAUCCCCGGGCUUAACCUGGGAACUGCAUCCGUGACUGCAAGGCUGGAGUACGGCAGAGGGGGAUGGAAUUCCGCGUGUAGCAGUGAAAUGCGUAGAUAUGCGGAGGAACACCGAUGGCGAAGGCAAUCCCCUGGGCCUGUACUGACGCUCAUGC
rnacentral:rRNA from 1 species